UGAGCAAUCUGCCCUUCUCAUCGGAAUAAGCGUUGGAAACGACGUCUAAUGCCGAAUACGACCUCCUUUCGCAUGAUCGGAGGUGGAAAGCUCCGGCGGAGAAGGAUGAGCUCGCGGCCUAUCAGCUAGUUGGUGUGGUAAUGGCCCACCAAGGCGACGACGGAUACGCCGGCCUGGAGAGGGUGACCGGCCACACUGGGACUGAGACACGGCCCAGACCUCCGUACGGGAGCA
rnacentral:rRNA from 1 species